rnacentral:lncRNA from 1 species
CAGCAUGCCUCAUCUUGCGCAGAAAGGAACAACAGCAGAUCUCUGACUCAAAGCACAACAGAAAAUACAUGGGCAGAGUGGCUGUACAGGUACCAGAUGGCCAGAUGAAUGAAGAAAAAGUCUUCUGCAUUAAACAGGGAGGCAAGAUCAGAUCGAACUUCUGGUUUUCCCUGAGCAGGCUGUCUCAGGCACUGAAAGUCAAGACUGCUGGGACUGGGGAAGAAUCAGGUAAGGAGAUCAUUCCAAAGCUAAAGGCCACCUCCUAAACUUCUUCCCAAAUCUGGACAGUGAUCCAGUGAAAGCACACUCUCAAAAUCCUCCCAUUAUAGGAGUGUGUCCCAAAGGCACAUGGAUUGUCGGCACAAGAAGGCUCCAAAGAGGUCAUAAUAUCUAAGUUCUUCAUUUUAUAAGUGAGGUACUUGAGGCCCAGAGAAGGAACAUGACUCCCCCAAGAUCCCAUGAGCCACUCACUGAAAUUAAAGCCCUAGCCCUCUGACUCAAGCUUGUACUCUUCUGAAAGCAUCACACUAUCAGCUCGAGGAAUAAAAUUAUUGAAAAAAUAAAUAAAGC